rnacentral:lncRNA from 1 species
GAGACAUGAUGAUAGGCCAUUGUACAUCUACUAUAUUCCAUAUUAGAGACAUGAUGACAUAGAGAUAGGCUAUUGAGAUACUUGAUAUAUUCCAUGUUUUAGACAUGAGGACUUGGUACUUGAGACAGAUCAUUGCUUGCUUGCCAUUGUGCUCAUUCGCACAUGCUUGUGAGGGUCACUCCCUACAAGCUGGCACUCCG